CAUUUAUUUCCUCUCAAUUCAUUCUUAGAUCAACAAUGAACUUUUCAUGUGUGUGAUCCACGUGAGUGCAAAUUCCUUUGAAGGAUUAUGAUGUAAGAGUUCAAGGAUUGGAUAAAAAAUUGGCAUCAUAUAAAAACCAGCCCUCUAUUUCUGCCCACUUAUAAUAAUCCAUGAUAUGUUCUUCAAAUUGUAAGUAAAUAAGUUUAAUGGUGGAGUUUGGGAGGGAAAAUAUGAAAGCAGAUCUU
rnacentral:lncRNA from 1 species